rnacentral:piRNA from 2 species
UAGAGACAACAAAAGUGACAGCC